UUUUUAUGUGGUGCUGAGGAUCGAACACAGUGCCUCGUGCAUGCCAGAAACAGCACAGGAACCUCUGAAUGCUUGCGUGGAUUUUACCACAGGACAAGGAAGUCCAUGCUGCAAACAAAGAAAAACGGGGCAUUUGAGUUGGGAAGAUAAGGAAGCAAUCAUUUCAAGGAGAUAAGACUCUGGGCCUAUCAGGACAGAAUGGAAAUGAAAGGGCUUCAGGAAGCCAGAGGCAGGCAUUAGUCCUUGUCUGCCUUAACUCUUUGUGUUCAGGCGCUGCGGCGCUCGCCCAGACGAGGCCAGGCUUUCGUUUCGCCUUCGGGACCCAGAAGCCUGCUUCCAGACGGGUGUGAACACCAACGCACUCAACCUCGACUAGGCGCUUCCUUCCCAACUCCGGCCCUGCUUCAGCUCCAGACUAAACUCGGGUCGCGUCUGCUUGCUCCAGGCCGAACCAUGACAGGGCAAUUCAGGUGGACCAUCGGGCGAACUUGAUUCACUCACCUACUUGGUAAAGCCGGCCCUCGGGCGAAAAAAUGGUAAUGUGGCGGUCAAAACCAGCGCUGGAACCACGGGACAUGUUGGUACACCCACUACUUCAAACACAGUCUCGGGACCCCCGGAGCUCCGGCACCAGGCGUACAAACCCCUGCGGAAGUUGCAGUGACUGCUUCCGGGGCACCGGCCGGUCUUCUUCCGCUCCGGCCGGCCGAACUCACGGCCCUAGCGUUCAUUCAAGCGAGGAGGGAGUUUUAGGGUCCCGCCCCCAUUAGGGGUGGGACGCCGAGGGCCGAAGGUCUUCGGAUUGCGCUUGCGCCUGGCUUGCUCUUGAGCUUGUGGAAGAUGGUCAGGUGAAGUGGGGGUCGUGCAGUCUUAGGGCUUGCAUGCUGAGAAUGAGUUGACUACAGCAAGAACGAAGCAGCUAAAUAUUAAAAAGAGAGAAGGUGUGUGUGUGUGUGUGUGGGUCAGCGGUAGCGCACUUGCCUGGCACGUGUGAGGCACUGGUUUCGAGACGCAGCACCACCUAUAAAUAAGUAAAAUAAAAGAUCUAUCAACAACUAGAAAAAAGUAUUUUUUAAAAAAGAACGAAGCAGAUUUCUAGGGCUGCUGGGUAGUUAUUUGCCUAUCAGUGUGAUCACGUAAUGUAAUCACAUCUCGUUAGUAGUGGCAUCUUACAUCCAACCUGUGUCUGACCUGAACGCUAGUUGUUCUUCCUUACUUCCACGUUACUUGCCACUUUCCUUCCUACGACGGAGGCGGGGUGGGUAGGAUAGCAGCUGCAGUAGCAGUAACCCUAAAAUGUAGGCUCUGAAGGGGUUCAAGUAGUCACUGGAAAGAACGGAAUUUUCUUCUAUCCUGGCAAGAUCUUCCUUUGGACAGCAAUUUUUUUUUUUUUUUUUUUUUUUUUAGAAGUGGAACUAAGGUUGAAAUACAGGUAAUGGGGAAAUCCGGAGGUUAGCAGCCUUGAUGGAUAAUGAACAAGAUCAGAAGGGAUGAGCAGGAGCAGAGAUCAGAGGGCCUGAUUUGGAAAAUACCCAUUUCAUUAAGGAUUUGACCACUCCUGCCAGAAUGGACCAAGUGCCAAAGGACGUGACCUUUAAUUUGAGCCAAUAGCUAUUAUCAGUGAGACAGCUUCCUGAAACACAAAUUUCCUUCUGAACACAAGCAAACCUUGAGGAGAAAUUUGAGUAUAAAAAUAUGUGAAUAGUAUUUUAUGAUAUACAGCAAUGCCGUAAUUUAAGCUAGUUGAUUCUUUUUAUAAACUUACAUUUUAUGAUUACAUAAUAGAAUACAUAAGGAAGAAGUGGUAGAAGACUAUAAGAACAAGAAAAAGUGUUCAUUUUCUGUCAGAUUAAAAAAUGUUACAAAGAAGUGUACACAGAAUGAUUCUUUUUUUAGAAAAUGGAUAUACGUACGAACAAUAGUAAUAGAUGUCAGCUACGGAACAGGAUUAAAAAAAUGUAACUUUCGGUUCUAGGGCAAGGUCAUUGAAAAGAAGAAACUUCAAGAACAAUUUACUUCCAAAGAAUUAUUAGUGCCCAUUAAAAAAGAUGGACAUAGGAGGUGAUAUACUAUAUUAUUAUAGUACAUCUUAGGUAACAAGUCUAGAUGGGGGACUUACCUUUUCGAGGUCUUGCCAUAGCUACCUCCAAAGGAACCUGUUUCAUACAGGUGAUGACUCUAUCCCAUUCUCCCAGCGCAGCACUCCACUGUGCUCUACAACAGCCAAAUGGACAGAAUUUUCAGGAAUUCCAUUUGCAUGUAUCAGGACACUGAUGUUCUUCUGUUCUGAUGUUGUCAUAAAUACCACAAGAGAUCUCCUUUAAUAAUGAACUUUAGGGCUGAGGAUACAGCUCAGUUGGCAGAGUGCUUGCCUUACAUGCAGAAGAUCUUGGGUUCAAUCCCCAUCACCAUAAAAAAAAAAAAAAAAAAAAAAGACUUUAGGCCAGGUAUGGUGGCGAACACAUGUAAUCCCAUCAAUUUGGGAGGCUGAGGCAGGAGGAUUGAGAGUUCAAGCCUUAGCAAUUUAGUGAGACCCUGUCUCAAAAAAUAAAAAGAGCUGGGGAUCCCUGGGUUCAAUCACUAGUACAAAAACAAAACAAAACAACAACAAAAGGUCUUUAAAUACAUAGAUGUGAGCAUUUCUGGGCCUAGUCAUGAACACAGGAAGGAGAAAGAUAAGGGGGGAAACGGCAGGAGAACAAAGGAAGCCUAGACAUAUAAAAAGGACAGAACACCUCGCUUCUUAGGAUACCAGGAUACCAGCAAUGGCCCAUUUCUCCCUCCCGGGAGAAGUCUGUUACCCCUUUUAAAAUAAACCCUGCUUUAUAUGCUUGAAAAAAAAUAAAAUAAAUACAUAGAUGUGAACUGAACUUGAAACCUAAUAAUGUUCUAUCUAGCUCAGUUGAAAGUGAUGAGACAAAGUGACUUAGUCUCUUGAAAAUGAAUUUAUUUCUC